GGGGGCGAACGGUUUCGACGUUGGAGCGCCGGGUAGAUGAUAGCAGGCCAGGUGGCGACUGCGAUAGCCAAAACAAACAGCUCCCGAAGCUGAACUCUCUCUCGCUGCUUAACUAAAAGCAGCGCGUCCUUGCUGGUUUUGACACCUUGACCGGCAAAGGGCGUCAGAGAAAGGUGUCCUGGUUGGUGAUUUGCUGUCUUGCGCCAAACCAGUACUUAAGACAGCCUGAGGUUUGUGGUUUUUCAUAGGUUUUACCCCAAACCCAGCAUCAUAAAACCUAUGUAAGCCUGUAGAAGUCAUCUAUCCCGGUUCUGACGGACGCGGGUUCGAUUCCCGCCGCCUCCACC
rnacentral:tmRNA from 2 species